AAAGGAAUUGACGGGGGCCCGCACAAGCAGUGGAUUAUGUGGUUUAAUUCGAAGCAACGCGAAGAACCUUACCGGGAUUUGACAUCCUACUAACGAAGCAGAGAUGCAUUAGGUGCCCUUCGGGGAAAGUAGAGACAGGUGGUGCAUGGUUGUCGUCAGCUCGUGUCGUGAGAUGUUGGGUUAAGUCCCGCAACGAGCGCAACCCCUAUUGUUAGUUGCUACGCAAGAGCACUCUAGCGAGACUGCCGUUGACAAAACGGAGGAAGGUGGGGACGACGUCAAAUCAUCAUGCCCCUUAUGUCCCGGGCUACACACGUAAUACAAUGGCGAUCAACAAAGGGAAGCAAUACCGCGAGGUGGAGCAAAUCCCCAAAAAUCGUCUCAGUUCGGAUUGCAGGCUGCAACCCGCCUGCAUGAAGUCGGAAUUGCUAGUAAUCGCGGAUCAGCACGCCGCGGUGAAUACGUUCCCGGGCCUUGUACACACCGCCCGU
rnacentral:rRNA from 1 species